ensembl:lncRNA
UGAGUCCUCAUCUGCUGAACCCUGCAGGGCGGCGCUUUAAUAACGCCUCGUUCCUGCACAAACCCGGCCGGCGCUCCGUGAAUCGGUCGACACCAGGGGAGGAAGAAAAUGAUUUUAAAGACUGCUGCGGAGUUCUUCCUUUUUAUUGGACUGCUGCAGAGUUCUUCCUUUUAAUUUGGUGAAUUUGUAUUUCGUCCAAACUUUGUAAGAAUGUGUCUAAAGGAUGUUGACAUCUCAACCCUAUAUAGUCCAGUUUUAUUGAUGUCUAGACAUCUUUUUAAAACUUUCUUAGCACUGAUUCCUUGAUAAACAUGAUGCUAAUACACAGUUUGACAGGUUUAACUGGUGAACAUGGAUUUGGAGUUGAGCAGUUCAAAGGAUUUCUAGGUUUUAAGGUCAACUCAAAUUGACUUAAAUUUGUUUGAAAAGUUGUGUUUUUUCAAUUACACGUCACCUGAAUGACUCAGCUUUAUAUAGUCCAGUUUUA